rnacentral:rRNA from 1 species
GAUGAACGCUAGCUACAGGCUUAACACACGCAAGUCGAGGGGUAACGAGAGGAAAGCUUGCUUUCCAUGUCGACGACCGGCGCACGGGUGAGUAACGCGUAUCCAACCUGCCCCCAACUAGGGAAUAACCUUGCGAAAGUAAGACUAAUACCCUAUAAUUUCCUCAGAUGUCAUCUGACGAGGAAUAAAGAUUUAUCGGUUGUGGAUGGGGAUGCGUCUGAUUAGCUUGUUGGCGGGGUAACGGCCCACGAAGGCAACGAUCAGUAGGGGUUCGGAGAGGACAGUCCCCCACAUUGGAACUGAGACACGGUCCAAACUCCUACGGGAGGCAGCAGUGAGGAAUAUUGGUCAAUGGGCGGAAGCCUGAACCAGCCAAGUAGCGUGCAGGAUGACGGCCCUAUGGGUUGUAAACUGCUUUUAUACAGGAAUAAAGUUAGCCACGUGUGGUUAUUUGUAGGUACUGUAUGAAUAAGGACCGGCUAAUUCCGUGCCAGCAGCCGCCGUAA